CAGAGGUCCCGAGCGUUGUUCGGAUUCACUGGGCGUAAAGGGUGCGUAGGUGGCGAGGUAAGUCGGAUGUGAAAGCUCGGAGCUCAACUCCGAAAUGGCAUUGGAAACUACCUUGCUCGAGGGUUGAGGGGGGACUGGAAUACUUGGUGUAGCAGUGAAAUGCGUAGAUAUCAAGUGGAACACCAGUGGCGAAGGCGAGUCCCUGGACAACUCCUGACACUGAGGCACGAAAGCUAGGGGAGCAAACAGGAUUAGAUACCCUGGUAGUCCUAGCCGUAAACGGUGCUUGCUUGCUGUAAAAGGAAUCGACCCCUUUUGUGGCGUAGCCAACGCGUUAAGCAAGCCGCCUGGGAAGUACGGUCGCAAGAUUA
rnacentral:rRNA from 1 species